AGCAUACAGGAUUAGAUACCCUGGUAGUCCACGCCGUAAACGAUGAGUGCUAGGUGUUAGACCCUUUCCGGGGUUUAGUGCCGCAGCUAACGCAUUAAGCACUCCGCCUGGGGAGUACGACCGCAAGGUUGAAACUCAAAGGAAUUGACGGGGGCCCGCACAAGCGGUGGAGCAUGUGGUUUAAUUCGAAGCAACGCGAAGAACCUUACCAGGUCUUGACAUCCCUCUGACCGCUCUAGAGAUAGAGUUUUCCUUCGGGACAGAGGUGACAGGUGGUGCAUGGUUGUCGUCAGCUCGUGUCGUGAGAUGUUGGGUUAANNNNNNNNNACGAGCGCAACCCCUAUUGUUAGUUGCCAUCAUUUAGUUGGGCACUCUAGCGAGACUGCCGGUAAUAAACCGGAGGAAGGUGGGGAUGACGUCAAAUCAUCAUGCCCCUUAUGACCUGGGCUACACACGUGCUACAAUGGCUGGUACAACGAGUCGCAAGCCGGUAACGGCAAGCUAAUCUCUUAAAGCCAGUCUCAGUUCGGAUUGUAGGCUGCAACU
rnacentral:rRNA from 1 species